UCCCUGUUUCCCAGACCAUAUAGCACCAGAAUAACCUGUGAAGCUAUUAAAAAAAAACAACAACAGAUUUCUGGAGUCUACCUCCAAGAAAUUCUGAAUGAACAGGUUAGAGAAGAGCUGAGGGAUCUACAUUUUAACCAACACAGAUUGUUUGAGGCUCACCAGUCUAAAAAAAAAUCUUUAAGGUUGUUUCUAAUUCUGAAAUUCAUUAUUCAGAGUAUCCAGUUUCUGCUUCCAUGGUCUCAAACUCCCUGCUUACUGCCUCUACUGAUUCUCACCAUUGGUAGUCCGAAGCUUGGGUCUUCUGAUGCUCUACCUAUGGGAAAGAGAUUACUUCUAGAUUGCCAAGAGUCAGCAUCUUGGACAUGGUGAUGAUGUUAACCAACACCAGGAAGUUCUUCUCGCAGAUCAUCCCCUGGAUCUGAGAAAAUGCUGCUCUUGGGUGACAGAAGUAGAUGAUAUGGAUCUUGCUUCUUUGUGUGACUUCGGAGGGUCUACAGGACAUGGGUGAGAAUGUGACUUUAGGAAAUGAUGCUGCCUAUGAGUCUGGUUUCUUUUUUGGACUCCUGAGGCUUGAGCACUCACCUGAAUAAAAUAAGCAUGUACGAGGUAACUGUAACUGUG
rnacentral:lncRNA from 1 species